rnacentral:lncRNA from 1 species
AUGGUUUGGGGUUUUUUUGGCUCCUUCCUGAAGCCAGUUUGGUUUUCCUUCAAGAAGCCUUUCCGCAGCUCUUGUUGCAAACCACACAUUAGCAAAGCAAUGAGCUCCUCCAGCCCUCUUUGCUCCUUGCUGGCUGUUGGGAAUCCAGGAAAAAAAAAUAAAAUACAAUCUGUCCUCAGGAAUAACAAACAUCCUUCCCCUGCCUGCGGACCUGAGGGAAAAAUGGGGAUGUUCCAAUCCCGGAGCAGAAAUUCAUCCCUAAAGUCCAGGACUUGCAAGGAUUUGUGCCACAACCUUGAACUCUUUUACUGCCCCUUUUGGUGGAUUCUCUGCCUGGUUUGGAGCAGAACCCACGACCUGGAGGGGAAUGUUUGAUUUAAAAGGGAACCUGGAGUUUAAUUGUCCUCUGGGUUUGGCUCUGCCGUGAGCGAAGCCCCGGUGAGCGUCUCGCAGAAAGGCAGCAAACCCCAAACCCGGGCAGGGCUGACUCGCUUUGGUUUAUUUUGUUUCAUUCGCAGGAACGUAAACCAAGAGAAAAAUGGUUUAAAAGCAGGGGGGGUGUGAGCAGAGGAGCCGGAAUGUGACGGAGGAGAGGGAAUGAGGAGUGAUUUGGCAGCAGUCGGCGGCGAUGGCUCGGCGCGUGUUCGUGCCCGGCUCUCAGAUCUCAAACCACGACCUCGGGUUUCUCCCUUGGCCACCAGACUUGAUGGGGAGUCAGGGCUCUGAGAGAGACACCAGGAACCUUCCCGGGGCUGCAAUAACGAGGUUUAAUUAUUAGUUAGCUGUCUGGGCUCGUGGAUGGGGAGGUAUCAGCUCGUUCGUCUCCGCAGACACAGACUGGAAGGCACACAGAGUGUGUGGGAUCCAACCCUGGCUUUGAAGGGGAUUCUGUAAUUUAAAAUUCGCUCUAAACUUUACCCAGAAGUUAAUCCCCUUCCUUACCCUCUCUCCCCCAGAUUGCUUGAAUAACAUGAAUCAUUCCACCCCGUGCAUGUCAGACAAGGACAUUUUCAUCUUAAACUAUUAAUUUUCUUUUUUCUUUUUUUUUUCUCUGGAGUACAAUGUUAUCAAAAUCAACACGUUCCCAUGU